AACGAACGCUGGCGGCAUGCCUAACACAUGCAAGUCGAACGAGACCUUCGGGUCUAGUGGCGCACGGGUGCGUAACGCGUGGGAACCUGCCCUUAGGUUCGGAAUAACUCCCCGAAAGGGGUGCUAAUACCGGAUAAUGUCUUCGGACCAAAGAUCUAUCGCUUUUGGAUGGGCCCGCGUUGGAUUAGUUAGUUGGUAGGGUAAAAGCCUGCCAAGGCGACGAUGCAUAGCUGGUGUGGGAGGAUGAUCAGCCACGCUGGAACUGCGACACGGCCCAGACUGGUAGGGGAGGGAGCAGUGGGGAAUAUUGGGGGAGGGGCGAAAGCCUGAUACAGCAAUGCCGGGUGAGUGAGGAAGGGGGUAGGGUUGUAAAGCUCUUUUAGCCGGGAUGAUAAUGACGGUACCGGGUGAAGAAGCUCCGGCUAACUCCGUG
rnacentral:rRNA from 1 species